rnacentral:rRNA from 2 species
AUUAAACGCUGGCGGCAUGCCUUACACAUGCAAGUCGAACGGCAGCACGGGGCAACCUGGUGGCGAGUGGCGAACGGGUGAGUAAAGCAUCGGAACGUGCCCUGGAGUGGGGGAUAACGUAGCGAAAGUUACGCUAAUACCGCAUAUUCUGUGAGCAGGAAAGCAGGGGAUCGCAAGACCUUGCGCUCUGGGAGCGGCCGAUGUCGGAUUAGCUAGUUGGUGGGGUAAAGGCCUACCAAGGCGACGAUCCGUAGCGGGUCUGAGAGGAUGAUCCGCCACACUGGGACUGAGACACGGCCCAGACUCCUACGGGAGGCAGCAGUGGGGAAUUUUGGACAAUGGGCGCAAGCCUGAUCCAGCCAUGCCGCGUGAGUGAAGAAGGCCUUCGGGUUGUAAAGCUCUUUCGGCCGGGAAGAAAUCGCAUGGGUCAAUACCCUGUGUGGAUGACGGUACCGGAAUAAGAAGCACCGGCUAACUACGUG